rnacentral:rRNA from 1 species
AAAUUGAAGAGUUUGAUCAUGGCUCAUAUUGAACGCUGGCGGCAGGCCUAACACAUUCAAGUCGAGCGGUAGCACAGAGAGCUUGCUCUCGGGUGACGAGCGGCGGACGGGUGAGUAAUGUCUGGGAAACUGCCUGAUGGAGGGGGAUAACUACUGGAAACGGUAGCUAAUACCGCAUAACGUCGCAAGACCAAAGUGGGGGACCUUCGGGCCUCAUGCCAUCAGAUGUGCCCAGAUGGGAUUAGCUAGUAGGUGGGGUAACGGCUCACCUAGGCGACGAUCCCUAGCUGGUCUGAGAGGAUGACCAGCCACACUGGAACUGAGACACGGUCCAGACUCCUACGGGAGGCAGCAGUGGGGAAUAUUGCACAAUGGGCGCAAGCCUGAUGCAGCCAUGCCGCGUGUGUGAAGAAGGCCUUCGGGUUGUAAAGCACUUUCAGCGGGGAGGAAGGCGUUAAGGUUAAUAACCUUGGCGAUUGACGUUACCCGCAGAAGAAGCACCGGCUAACUCCGUGCCAGCAGCCGCGGUAAUACGGAGGGUGCAAGCGUUAAUCGGAAUUACUGGGCGUAAAGCGCACGCAGGCGGUCUGUCAAGUCGGAUGUGAAAUCCCCGGGCUUAACCUGGGAACUGCAUUCGAAACUGGCAGGCUAGAGUCUUGUAGAGGGGGGUAGAAUUCCAGGUGUAGCGGUGAAAUGCGUAGAGAUCUGGAGGAAUACCGGUGGCGAAGGCGGCCCCCUGGACAAAGACUGACGCUCAGGUGCGAAAGCGUGGGGAGCAAACAGGAUUAGAUACCCUGGUAGUCCACGCCGUAAACGAUGUCGAUUUGGAGGUUGUGCCCUUGAGGCGUGGCUUCCGGAGCUAACGCGUUAAAUCGACCGCCUGGGGAGUACGGCCGCAAGGUUAAAACUCAAAUGAAUUGACGGGGGCCCGCACAAGCGGUGGAGCAUGUGGUUUAAUUCGAUGCAACGCGAAGAACCUUACCUGGUCUUGACAUCCACAGAACUUUCCAGAGAUGGAUUGGUGCCUUCGGGAACUGUGAGACAGGUGCUGCAUGGCUGUCGUCAGCUCGUGUUGUGAAAUGUUGGGUUAAGUCCCGCAACGAGCGCAACCCUUAUCCUUUGUUGCCAGCGGUUAGGCCGGGAACUCAAAGGAGACUGCCAGUGAUAAACUGGAGGAAGGUGGGGAUGACGUCAAGUCAUCAUGGCCCUUACGACCAGGGCUACACACGUGCUACAAUGGCAUAUACAAAGAGAAGCGACCUCGCGAGAGCAAGCGGACCUCAUAAAGUAUGUCGUAGUCCGGAUUGGAGUCUGCAACUCGACUCCAUGAAGUCGGAAUCGCUAGUAAUCGUAGAUCAGAAUGCUACGGUGAAUACGUUCCCGGGCCUUGUACACACCGCCCGUCACACCAUGGGAGUGGGUUGCAAAAGAAGUAGGUAGCUUAACCUUCGGGAGGGCGCUUACCACUUUGUGAUUCAUGACUGGGGUGAAGUCGUAACAAGGUAACCGUAGGGGAACCUGCGGUUGGAUCACCUCCUUA